UACGUAGGUGGCAAGCGUUGUUCGGAAUCACUGGGCAUAAAGAGUUCGUAGGCGGUUUGGUCAGUCAGAUGUGAAAUCCCUCGGCUCAACCGAGGAACUGCAUUUGAUACUGCCUCACUUGAGGGUAGCAGGGGAGAGCGGAAUUCUGGGUGUAGCGGUGAAAUGCGUUGAUAUCCAGGAGAACACCGGAGGCGAAGGCGGCUCUCUGGGCUGCUCCUGACGCUGAGGAACGAAAGCUAGGGUAGCGAACGGG
rnacentral:rRNA from 1 species